GACGAACGCUGGCGGCGUGCUUAACACAUGCAAGUCGUACGGUAAGGCCCUUUCGGGGGUACACGAGUGGCGAACGGGUGAGUAACACGUGAGUAACCUGCCCACAACUUUGGGAUAACGCUAGGAAACUGGUGCUAAUACUGGAUAUGUGCUCCUGCUGCAUGGUGGGGGUUGGAAAGCUCCGGCGGUUGUGGAUGGACUCGCGGCCUAUCAGCUUGUUGGUGGGGUAGUGGCCUACCAAGGCGGCGACGGGUAGCCGGCCUGAGAGGGUGACCGGCCACAUUGGGACUGAGAUACGGCCCAGACUCCUACGGGGGGCAGCAGUGGGGAAUAUUUCACCAUGGGCGCAAGCCUGAUGCAGCAACGCCGCGUGCGGGAUGACGGCCUUCGGGUUGUAAACCGCUUUCAGCAGGGACGAAGCUUUUUGUGACGGUACCUGCAGAAGAAGCACCGGCUAACUACGUG
rnacentral:rRNA from 1 species